UACGAAGGGGGCUAGCGUUGCUCGGAAUUACUGGGCGUAAAGCGCACGUAGGCGGAUUUGUAAGUCAGGGGUGAAAUCCCGGGGCUCAACCUCGGAACUGCCUUUGAUACUGCAAAUCUCGAGUCCGGAAGAGGUGAGUGGAAUUCCUAGUGUAGAGGUGAAAUGCGCAGAUAUCAGGAAGAACACCCGUGGCGAAGGCGGCUCUCUGGGACGGUACUGACGCUGAGACGCGAAAGCGUGGGGAGCGAACAGG
rnacentral:rRNA from 1 species